GGAAACAACAAAAACGACAACGAAAAAUGUCAAAAUAUUGAGUAAUCACUCUCGCGGCUCGAAGAGGAGCGUGGACCCGAAACCUAAACCCGAAACACAAAAUCCGAAACGAAACGAAACGUGAACGAAUGUUGGCGCAACAGAUUGGCUAACAAAAAAAUGGGUCUUAGGAGGGAGUUCGAGUAGACCACAGGCAAUUGGCCGGGCAAUUGGAAGUACUCCAAGUGAGGCACAGAUUCUCAGAUGAGGUCAUGGAUCCCAUCGAUGGCAGUUCCUUUUACAAUGCCCUGAAG